UACACCUACGGGGGGCAGCAGUGGGGGAUAUUGCACAAUGGGGGGAACCCUGAUGCAGCGACGCCGCGUGGGUGAAGAAGCGCCUCGGCGCGUAAAGCCCUGUCAGCAGGGAAGAAAAUGACGGUACCUGAAGAAGAAGCCCCGGCUAACUACGUGCCAGCAGCCGCGGUAAUACGUAGGGGGCAAGCGUUAUCCGGAAUGACUGGGCGUAAAGGGUGCGUAGGUGGUUUGACAAGUUAGUAGCGCAACUCCGGAGCUCAACUUCGGAACUACCACUAAAACUGUUGGACUUGAGUGCAGGAGGG
rnacentral:rRNA from 1 species